GACGAACGCUGGCGGCGUGCUUAACACAUGCAAGUCGAACGGAAAGGCCCUGCUUUUGUGGGGUGCUCGAGUGGCGAACGGGUGAGUAACACGUGAGUAACCUGCCCUUGACUUUGGGAUAACUUCAGGAAACUGGGGCUAAUACCGGAUAGGAGCUCCUGCUGCAUGGUGGGGGUUGGAAAGUUUCGGCGGUUGGGGAUGGACUCGCGGCUUAUCAGCUUGUUGGUGGGGUAGUGGCUUACCAAGGCUUUGACGGGUAGCCGGCCUGAGAGGGUGACAGGCCACAUUGGGACUGAGAUGCGGCCCAGACUACUACGGGAGGCAGCAGUGGGGAAUAUUGCACAAUGGGCGGAAGCCUGAUGCAGCAACGCCGCGUGCGGGAUGACGGCCUUCGGGUUGUAAACCGCUUUCGCCUGUGACGAAGCGUGAGUGACGGUAAUGGGUAAAGAAGCACCGGCUAACUACGUG
rnacentral:rRNA from 1 species